CCUGAUACAAUGGGACAAAGUCCUUUUGUUCUUCUCUUUCUAUUGCAUUUUGACACUUCUCAAUCUUCCACUGCCGCAUGAAAUCUCGCAGAUACCCAAAGAGAGUGAGAACACCAUAGCCUACGUAGGUCAGCACAGCAACCAGCAUUGGUGUUUCUUCAAAAGCUUCAUUGAAAGGCCUUUUGUAUAAUCCUCCAUUGUGCACAAUGUGAUUUAUCUGUGUGUCGGGUGCGGGCAGGCCGCGCACGUAGCCGUUGCGGAGCCCUCCGUGGGCCGCGCCGCUGCAGCCGUUGGCACGGGGCUGAGCACCCAGCGCCGCCGCAGCCCGCUCGGGCCGCUCCAUCCCGCCGCUGCCGGACACGAUCCCGCCGCGCCUCACCCGCUCCGCUGGCCCCACCCGGCCGCGCCGCGCCG
rnacentral:lncRNA from 1 species